rnacentral:rRNA from 1 species
GAUGAACGCUGGCGGCGUGCCUAAUACAUGCAAGUCGAGCGAACGGACGAGAAGCUUGCUUCUCUGAUGUUAGCGGCGGACGGGUGAGUAACACGUGGAUAACCUACCUAUAAGACUGGGAUAACUUCGGGAAACCGGAGCUAAUACCGGAUAAUAUUUUGAACCGCAUGGUUCAAAAGUGAAAGACGGUCUUGCUGUCACUUAUAGAUGGAUCCGCGCUGCAUUAGCUAGUUGGCAAGGUAACGGCUUACCAAGGCAACGAUGCAUAGCCGACCUGAGAGGGUGAUCGGCCACACUGGAACUGAGACACGGUCCAGACUCCUACGGGAGGCAGCAGUAGGGAAUCUUCCGCAAUGGGCGAAAGCCUGACGGAGCAACGCCGCGUGAGUGAUGAAGGUCUUCGGAUCGUAAAACUCUGUUACUAGGGAAGAACAUAUGUGUAAGUAACUGUGCACAUCUUGACGGUACCUAAUCAGAAAGCCACGGCUAACUACGUG